rnacentral:lncRNA from 1 species
AUCUAGCUAUGAUCGAGAUCGGAUCUCGAUCUAAUCGCACGUCGGAUCGAGAAAAAAAUUUUGAAAUCCACUGCAUCCUGAUCUGAUCGAUCGGGGGUGCAGUCAUUCCUUCAAAAAUAGCUACCAGAUUCCCAAGAAGAACAAGCUCAAGAAGGGGAAGACCACGGUGGGGUCGUCUUCCUCCAAGAGUGGGUGGAGCUUCAGUGUUCUGGAGCUACAAAGGAAGAAGAUGGUGGUGGGCUACAAGGCCUAUGCCAUGGAGGGGAAGAUGAAGGGGUCGU